rnacentral:lncRNA from 1 species
UACAUAUCACUUGAUAGGUGUGGCGAAUAAAUGCUAUUGAAAGUAGGAGUGCGAAAAUUCACCUCAUCUGCUUCAAUGCAAACUUCACACGAAUUUCUCCUUUUGCGAUUACAAUAUUUUUCUGUCUAUUUUCUUUCUGCAACAGCUUCUAAACACGACAGUCAGCAAUCAACACCAUCGAACGACGACGACGAUCCUACAUGAGAACGUCUAUGUGACCACCGAACCUACAUGAAAUAGUAACCAAAUAUUCCUCCAAUUACACCCCACCGCUGCUGCCCCUUUAAACAAACUAUGGUCUUAGUCUUAAUAUUCAUUUUAAAAAAUAGUCUGGUCGUCUUUUAUCUCUUAUCUUUUACUUAGACUGCGGCCAUGCUGAGGCAUCACUUUGGAGUAUAUUAAUCAAAUAUAUCCGACCCCAAUGUUUUUAAUUAUGGUUUUAUUCUAUUGAAUCCGUUCGACAAACCACUAAGUUACGAAGUUGUGAACAAACCAACACCGGUUGUCAAGCGGUAUUGUGUACAGUCACAUCCACUUACAAGCACAGGGACACACACAUAUAUACAUAUACACGACAGACUUUCACAGUUUCCUAUUUCUUUAUUGCCCACAAGGGGCUGAACACAGAGGGGACAAACAAGGACAGACAAACGGAUUAAGUCGAUUACAUCGACCCCAGUGCGUAACUGGUACUUAAUUUAUCGACCCCGAAAGGAAGAAAGGCAAACUCGACCCCGGCGGAAGUUGAACUCAGAACGUAGCGGAAGACGAAAUACCUAUUUCUUUACUACCCACAAGGGGCUAAACACAGAAGUGACUAAUAAGGACAGACAAACGGAUUAAGCCGAUUACAUCAACCCCAGUGCGCAACUAUUAAUUUAUCGACCCCGAAAGGAUGAAAGACAAAGUCGACCUCGGCGGAAUUUGAACUCAGAACGUAACGGUAGACGAAUACCGCUAAGCAUUUCGUCUGGCGUGCUAACGAUUCUGCCAGCUCGCAGACUUUCACAGUUUCCGUCAGCCAAAUUCACUCACGAGGCUUUGAUCAGCCUGGGGGCUAGAGUAAAAGAUACUUGCUCAAGGUGCCAUGUAGGAGUGCAUCUGAAACCACGUGGCUGCAAAACGAUCUUUUUAACCACACGCCCAUGCGUGCGCCUAAAAUUGCUGAAAUCCUUUUGGAAUUCAUGUGGUUGGACCAGGGACUAAAAUCGACACUACAACUACCACAUCUGUACUAGCGACAAUGAACACAUUUUUGCUAAAAUAGUAAAUGUCUUAACAUCAUCCUACAGUUUCAGUCACGAUUGUUUCCCCUUUAACUUCAAUUUCUAGCCCCCCACCCAAAAAAAAACCUUCCGCCGAAUGACACUUUUACAACCAGUUUUCCAUGUUUUGCAAACGCAAAAUUAUAAUCGUUCUCAGAAUUGUUUUUGAUAUAAAGUUUAAGUGGUGAGUGGAUAAGUUGAUACCAUCGACCCCAAUACUUGACAGGUUCUUUAUUUUAUCAACCCUGAAAAGGUGAAAGGCAAACUUGACUCCAGCAGACUUUGAUUCAGAAAGUUAAGAGCCGGAGGAAGUUCAACAAGGAAUUUUCUCCAAGGCCCAAUCCACAUAAUUCCCAAUAAUUUGAAGAUUAUAAUAACGAACUAUUUAGGACAAUACAAACAAAGUACAGUAAGGAUUUAUAUACGUGUAAACAAUAAAAAGAACAAUAACAAAAUUUCCAAUAGUGGGAGUAACAAUUAGGGGCAAAAAUGGAACCCUACAGAUCCUGAAAUACCCCACCAUCGACAGGCACUUUUCUUCCAACCGUUCUCUUCAGUCUACGAGCCCGGGUUCAGUGAGGGUUCGCUUGAGCCAUUCUUGCCGCUUUCAACAAAUAUACUGGGAAAGCAUACAAAUAAUGAAAUUAUAUUGGACCAUGGGGCAUUAUCAGUCAUUUUUCUACUCAAAGACGAUACAAUGUUUAACUAAGAAUGUUUUUUUUCCGAAAAUGUGUUUAGAAUAUAAGUUUUCUACCUGAUUUAAAUAUUUUAUUUCUAAAAAAAAAACCCCAUCAUUUAAUCACGGGAAUCCUCACAGCAGCUCUCUGAUAUUUCCUGCCCCUUGUGCGCCCACAACUCCCUUAUGCGAAUGCUUAUGCCAAAGUUGAAAACCAUAGCUUAGAGUAGUGGCUCCACCUACAAGCUUUCUAUUAUAUAAUCAAUAGUGGCCCCAUCGUUGGAGGAUUAGACUGGCCAUCGGUGGAAUUUGAACUAAGAAUGUAAACAGAACAGACAAGUGCAUGUCCUAUGCUAGAAAGUUCUGGAAAUCCACCGGGAUGAUAAAAGACAAAGUUGAACUCGACAGGAUUUGAACCCAAAUCGAAGAGGACCAGGGCAAAUAACUAGACAGCAUUUUUACCCUGCACUCUCGCAACUCUACCAAGCCCGCACCUUAUAAUGAGGAAUUAUUGCGAACGUAAUACGCACACGGACGCGCGUUUUGUGGGCGAAGGAAGACUUAAUUAAAUCGACCCAGGUAAAUUACUGGUAUUCCUUAUGCCGACAUUCCUCCACAAGUCGUAUUGUUGAAGGGCACGAGAAGACACAGGUAAGACUUGAACUCGGAAUAUAAAGGGACGUAAGUAACCAAAUACAGCAGAUCAUUUUGUUCGACACCCUACCAAUGAUAAACUACGAUGAUUUCUAUCAAAAACAUAAAGCUGAGCGAUUGUAGUCAAUCAUAUUGACCCAAGUACUUGAAUAUAAAUUUAUCUAAAAAAAAAAAGGGUCUCUUAAUUAUUAACAAUCAUUUAAUUGUAACUAUUUGUAUCAUUAAAAAAGCUAACAUGUCUUAAUACAUUGCAUAAUUUCUGCAUCCGCAUCACUUUGCUUUUAUAGAUAACUUUGUUUUUGUUUAUCAUCACAUAUUUCUAACCCGUUUGUUUACAUGUCAUUGUAUGAAUGAAUGGGCCCUGUUGGCAAAUAAAGU